rnacentral:sRNA from 1 species
GAAGAAGAAGAAAAAAAC